UGCAUCGCUUGGAUCUCAUCCUCGGCAAUAAGGCGGCCUACCAGGAGGUGUUCAAGCCCGAGAACAUCAGCCUGAGGAACAAGUAAGCCGGGCACAGAGCUCGGGGUUGGGUUUGUGCGGAGCUGCCAUGGCCGAAGGCGAAUUCCUUGCUGCUCUGUGCUGUUCUUUGCUGUCCGGCUCAGGCUGCGGGAGCUGUGCGUCCUGCACGUGGUGCUCGGGGCCGUGGUUCCGCGCUGGGCUGCUCAGGGUAGGGCACUGGGGUUGGGCUGUGCCUGCACCUCGGGACCUCAGGGCUCUUUUCCAACCGGAGCCAUCCGAGGAUGAGCAGAGGCCAUCCCAUCCCAUCCCGUCCCGUCCCAUCCAUCAUCCCAUCCCAUCCCAUCCCAUCCAUCAUCCCAUCCCAUCCCAUCCCAUCCCAUCCCAUCCCAUCCCAUCCCAUCGCACACCCCAAGGCAUGGGGCUCUGUGCCGAUGGAGCACGGGGACGUGGCGCUCCCCGCUCUGUGUUUCCCUCCGAGCAGCGCAGGGUGCCCCCGGGGCCGAGGUGCCGGGCUCCUCCCGAAGGACUCGCUGCGGGUGAAGGCGGCCGAGCCCCGCUCCGUGCUCGUUCCGCGCGGAUCCGCCCCGCGCGUGGGAGCGCAGCGCUCAGCACGUGGAGCGUGCGCGCUCAGCGGGGGCGGGCCCCGCGCGGAGCCCCUGGCCAAUCGGGGCCGUGCCCGUCGCGGCGGCGGCUGCCAAUCAGCGGAGGGGGCGGGUCCGGCGGAACGGGAGGGGCGACGGCGCUGGGGGCGGAGUCUCGCGGAGGCGUUAACCAAUCGGAGGAGGGUUUUUCCCUGAGGCGGGGGCCAGAAGGAGGCUGUGCCUGCACUGAGGCGGCGGCCAAUCGGCGGAGGGGGUGGGAGCCACGAGGAGGCGGCGGCCAAUCGGCGGACGGGGUGGGAGCCACGAGGAGGCGGCGGCCAAUCGGCAGAGGGGGUGGGAGCCACGAGGAGGCGCCGGCCAAUCGGUGGAGGGGGUGGGAGCCACGAGGAGGCGGCAGCCAAUCGGCGGCCGGCCCGGCCCUGAGGUUGCGGCCAACCGGCGGCGGGGGGGCGGGACCCGUGCGGACGAACUGACCAAUCGGUGUAGGGGGCGUGCCGCGCGGGGAGUCAGUAGCCAAUCGGAAGCGGGGGUAUGUAUGAGGCGCCGGCCAAUAAGGGGUCUGCCUCCGCCUUGAGGCGGCGACCAAUCGGCGACAGGGGCGGGCCUCACGCGGACGAACCGACCAAUCGGAGGGGGGGGCGUGCCGUACGGGAGAGAAGUAACCAAUCGGGAGCCGCGCUCGCUCUGAGGCGGCGGCCAAUCGGCGUCGGGCCGUUGCGAGGCGGGAAAUGGCGGAGGCGGCGGCGGCGGAGGCGCCUGGCGGUGGCGGUGGCGGUGGCGGCAGCG
rnacentral:lncRNA from 1 species